GAAGGAAGUGAUUUCAGCAACUUCACAGAAAGCUUAAUGUGGCAUGUCAAAUGGUAAACUGAUGCCUGGAAUAGCUGGAGGCUGAGAGUUGCAGAGCAUCUCAACACAUUUUCCAGGGGAAUAAACCAGAUUCAGGAACCGUGACACAGGCAACAGACUGGGGCCGAGCUGUUGGGAUUCCAGCAAAAAGUACAGCUGGUGCAGGCUGUACUGUACUGGCAGACAGCUGGGAGCACGGAGCUGGGACUGCUCUCACUGCAGGACACUGCUGACUGCCAAUGCCAGCGGUGUGCCAGGGAUGGAAGGGAGCAGGAGAGCUCAGGGACAGUAGUGCUGGGUGACUUGUGGUAGAGAGGAAACUGGCAGCUGAAGACAGAGCUCAAGCACCCUGGACCACCUUUGUUCAUCAGUGUCCUGCUGUUGGUGCCCUUUUUAAAUAUGGAUGCUUUGGAGUUUUGAAAAAGCUCUCUAUAACAGUUAAGGUUA